UUGCCAACAAACAUUUCUCUACUUCUCAAUGAUGACUAUGGAAUGGUAAAAGUUUGAAGAUACCUUAAUUUUCACAGUCAGCUGGGUUAUCUCAGAGAGAUACUUUCCCUAGUGAGUGUUCUUAACACUUUCUUGAGUGGAAGGAAACAAUGCUUUUGAAGUGACAUUCCACGAUGAAUUCCUUCUGCUUCUAGAGAGAGUGAACGUUUUCAGUCAAAGAAGGUGAAUGUCGACUGCUACCGAAGUCUCUUGAGCCCUGGCAUCUGCCUGGUUGACCAACCAUAGACUGAUGCCUAGAUCUGAUGCUUUGUAUAGGGAGUGGCUUGAUUCCUAAGUAAAGGCCUUGACAUGCAGAAGUUGAUUCUCUUCUCUGUGGAGAUCAGAGGUUCUCAUACAGUGAGCUGGUACUGGGCUCACCACCCCUUGCUGAAGU
rnacentral:lncRNA from 1 species